rnacentral:rRNA from 1 species
CAAUAGCGUAUAUUUAAGUUGUUGCAGUUAAAAAGCUCGUAGUCGGAUUUUGGCUGAGAACGAACGGUCCGCCGUUAGGUGUGCACUGUUUGGUCUCAGCUUCCUGGUGAGGAGGUGUGCUUCACGGCCACUUAGUCACCGUGGUUACUUUGAAAAAAUUAGAGUGUUCAAAGCGGGCUUACGCUUGAAUAUAUUAGCAUGGAAUAACACCAUAGGACUCCUGUCCUAUUUCGUUGGUCUCGGGACGGGAGUAAUGAUUAAGAGGGACAGUCGGGGGCAUUCGUAUUUCAUUGUCAGAGGUGAAAUUCUUGGAUUUAUGAAAGACGAACUACUGCGAAAGCAUUUGCCAAGGAUGUUUUCAUUAA